rnacentral:rRNA from 1 species
UAGGGAAUCUUCCGCAAUGGGCGAAAGCCUGACGGAGCAACGCCGCGUGAGUUAUGAAGGCCUUCGGAUCGUAAAACUCUGUUAUUAGGGAAGAACAAAUGUGUAACUAACUAUGCACGUCUUGACGGUACCUACUCAGAAAGCCACGGCUAACUACGUGCCAGCAGCCGCGUUAAUACGUAGGUGGCAAGCGUUAUCCGAAAUUAUUGGGCGUAAAGCGCGCGUAGGCGGUUUUUUAAGUCUGAUGUGAAAGCCCACGGCUCAACCGUGGAGGGGCAUUGGAAACUGGAAAACUUGAGUGCAGAAGAGGAAGGGGGAAUUCCAUGUGGAGCGGUGAAAUGCGGAGAGAUAAGGAGAAACACCAGUGGAGAAGGCGACUGACUGGUCUAUAACUGACGCUGAUGUGCGAAAGCGUGGGGAUCAAACAGG